UGGGGAAUAUUGGACAAUGGGGGGAACCCUGAUCCAGCCAUGCCGCGUGUGUGAAGAAGGCCUUAUGGUUGUAAAGCACUUUAAGCGAGGAGGAGGGUACUGGUAUUAAUACUACCAGGUACUGGACGUUACUCGCAGAAUAAGCACCGGCUAACUCUGUGCCAGCAGCCGCGGUAAUACAGAGGGUGCGAGCGUUAAUCGGAUUUACUGGGCGUAAAGCGUGCGUAGGCGGCUAAUUGAGUCGGAUGUGAAAUCCCCGAGCUUAACUUGGGAAUUGCAUUCGAUUCUGGUUAGCUAGAGUGUGGGAGAGGAUGGUAGAAUUCCAGGUGUAGCGGUGAAAUGCGUAGAGAUCUGGAGGAAUACCGAUGGCGAAGGCAGCCAUCUGGCCUAACACUGACGCUGAGGUACGAAAGCAUGGGGAGCAAACAGG
rnacentral:rRNA from 1 species